AGUCGAACGGAUCCUUCGGGAUUAGUGGCAGACGGGUGAGUAACGCGUGGGAAGCUACCUUGUGGUAGGGGACAACAGUUGGAAACGACUGCUAAUACCCUAUGAGCCCUAUGGGGGAAAGAUUUAUCGCCAUGAGAUGUGCCCGCGUUAGAUUAGCUAGUUGGUAAGGUAAUGGCUUACCAAGGCGACGAUCUAUAGCUGGUCUGAGAGGAUGAUCAGCCACACUGGGACUGAGACACGGCCCAGACUCCUACGGGAGGCAGCAGUGGGGAAUAUUGGACAAUGGGGGCAACCCUGAUCCAGCCAUGCCGCGUGUGUGAUGACGGCCUUAGGGUUGUAAAGCACUUUCAUCAGUGAAGAUAAUGACAUUAACUGCAGAAGAAGCCCCGGCUAACUUCGUGCCAGCAGCCGCGGUUAAUACUAAGGGGGCUAGCGUUGUUCGGAAUCACUGGGCGUAAAGAGUACGUAGGCGGACUGAUAAGUUAGGGGUGAAAUCCCAAGGCUCAACCUUGGAACUGCCUUUGAUACUGUCAGUCUUGAGAUCGAGAGAGGUGAGUGGAACUCC
rnacentral:rRNA from 1 species